UGCCAGCAGCCGCGGUAAUACGAAGGGGGCGAGCGUUAUUCGGAAUUAUUGGGCGUAAAGGGCUCGCAGGCUGCUUGAACAGUUAGACGUGAAAUCCCCGGGCUCAACCUGGGAACUGCGUUUAAUACUAGCAAGCUAGAGAAAUAGAGAGGAAAGUGGAAUUCCGAGUGUAGAGGUGAAAUUCGUAGAUAUUCGGAGGAACACCAGUGGCGAAGGCGGCUCACUGGCUCGAUACUGACGCUGAGGUGCGAAAGCGUGGGGAGCAAACAGGAUUAGAUA
rnacentral:rRNA from 1 species